rnacentral:rRNA from 1 species
GUGUCAGCCGCCGCGGUAAUACGAAGGGGGCUAGCGUUGCUCGGAAUCACUGGGCGUAAAGGGCGCGUAGGCGGCUGAUUUAGUCGAGGGUGAAAGCCCGUGGCUCAACCACGGAAUGGCCUUCGAUACUGAUUGGCUUGAGACCGGAAGAGGACAGCGGAACUGCGAGUGUAGAGGUGAAAUUCGUAGAUAUUCGCAAGAACACCAGUGGCGAAGGCGGCUGUCUGGUCCGGUUCUGACGCUGAGGCGCGAAAGCGUGGGGAGCAAACAGGAUUAGAUACCCUGGUAGUCCACGCUGUAAACGAUGAAUGCUAGCCGUUGGGGUGCAUGCACCUCAGUGGCGCCGCUAACGCUUUAAGCAUUCCGCCUGGGGAGUACGGUCGCAAGAUUAAA